CGUCAUAUAGCUUAAUUAAAGCACCUCGCUUACAUCGAGAGAAUACUUGUGAAAAUCAAGUUAUUUCGA
rnacentral:tRNA from 1 species